GGCGAUUCGUCCCUGUCUCUUUCCGUGUUGUGGAGGCUUUGUUCUUUUAUUCUGCAAUAAAUCUUCCUGCUGCUGUUUGGGUCCGCACUACCUCUAUAAGCUGUAACACUCACUGUGAAGGUCUACAGCUUCGUUCCUGAAGCCAGCGAGACCACGAACCCAGCAGCAGGAACGAACAACUCCAGACGCGCGGCUUUAAGAGCUGUUAACACUCACCGGAAGGUCUGCAGCUUCACUCCUGAAGCCAGAGAGACCAUGAACCCAGCAGGAGGAAUGAACAACUCAAGAUGCGCCGCCUUAAGAACUGUAACACUCACCGCGAAGGUCUGCAACUUCAUUCCUGAGCCAGCGAGACCACGAACCCACCAGAAGGAAGAAACUCCGAACACAUCCAAACAUCAGAAGGAGCAAACUCCGGACACUCCGCCUUUAAGAACUGUAACACUCACCACCAGGGUUCGCGGCUUCAUUCUUAAAGUCAGUGAGACCAAGAAGCCACCAAUUCUGGAUAAAAUAUGAGGGAGGAAUCUGGAAUAUUUCAAGAUAAGGUCCAAUUCUUCCAUUGUCUCGUAAUCCAAUGCAGAGAUGUGAAAUGUAAGAUCAUCUGAAGGAGAGCUUUGGUUCAAGUCAAAUGCAUGCCUCAACCUAGCAGAGCCAAAGAGAUACUUGUAUGAUGACAUGACUUUUGCCUUCUGCCAUGAUUGUGAGACAUCCCCAACCACAUGAAACUAAUAUAAGACUUCACAACCUGCUGAAAAUGAGCUUUCGUAAUAACUCGGGACCUACCUGUCUAGGAAUAAACCAUCCUAAACAUGAAAGAUCAGAGAAAAUGUGAGACCAGAGACUCAUUUUCUUCUAAAGUCCUUUCUCCAAAAGAUUUUUAAAAAGAAAAAGGGGGAAAUUUGAAAAGAAAAUAAAUCUUGGGGCCCCCAAAUCACUAAGCUAAAGGGAAAAGUCAAGCUGGGAACUGCUUAGGGCCAACCUGCCUCCCAUUCUAUUCAAAGUCACCCCUCUGCUCACUGAGAUAAAUGCAUAUCUGGUUGCCUUCUUUGGAAAGGCUAAUCAGAAACUCAAAAGAAUGCAACCAUCUGUCCCUUAUCUGCCUAUGACCUGGAAGCCCCCUCCCCACUUUGAGUCCUCCCGCGUUUGCUUUGAG